rnacentral:rRNA from 1 species
UAGGGAAUCUUCGGCAAUGGGGGCAACCCUGUCCGAGCAACGCCGCGUGAGUGAAGAAGGUUUUCGGAUCGUAAAGCUCUGUUGUAAGAGAAGAACGUGUGUGAGAGUGGAAAGUUCACACAGUGACGGUAACUUACCAGAAAGGGACGGCUAACUACGUGCCAGCAGCCGCGGUAAUACGUAGGUCCCGAGCGUUGUCCGGAUUUAUUGGGCGUAAAGCGAGCGCAGGCGGUUUAAUAAGUCUGAAGUUAAAGGCAGUGGCUUAACCAUUGUUCGCUGUGGAAACUGUUAAACUUGAGUGCAGAAGGGGAGAGUGGAAUUCCAUGUGUAGCGGUGAAAUGCGUAGAUAUAUGGAGGAACACCGGUGGCGAAAGCGGCUCUCUGGUCUGUAACUGACGCUGAGGCUCGAAAGCGUGGGGAGCAAACAGG